UACGUAGGGGGCAAGCGUUGUCCGGAAUCAUUGGGCGUAAAGCGCGUGUAGGCGGCUCGGUAAGUCUGCUGUGAAAGUCCAGGGCUCAACCCUGGGAUGCCGGUGGAUACUGUCGAGCUCGAGUCCGGAAGAGGCGAGUGGAAUUCCUGGUGUAGCGGUGAAAUGCGCAGAUAUCAGGAAGAACACCCGUGGCGAAGGCGGCUCUCUGGGACGGUACUGACGCUGAGACGCGAAAGCGUGGGGAGCAAACAGG
rnacentral:rRNA from 1 species